GACGAACGCUGGCGGCGUGCUUAACACAUGCAAGUCGAACGGUACUUACUAAGUAGUAAUACGAAGUUUGUAUAGUGGCGGACGGGUGAGUAACGCGUGAGCAAUCUGCCUUUAAGAGGGGGAUAACACCGGGAAACCGGUGCUAAUACCGCAUAAGACCACGGUUUCACAUGAAACCGGGGUAAAAGGAGAAAUCCGCUUAAAGAUGAGCUCGCGUCCCAUUAGCUAGUUGGUGAGGUAACGGCUCACCAAGGCAGCGAUGGGUAGCCGACCUGAGAGGGUGAUCGGCCACACUGGAACUGAGACACGGUCCAGACUCCUACGGGUGGCUG
rnacentral:rRNA from 1 species